rnacentral:rRNA from 1 species
UGUAAUUUGCAGAGGAUGCUUUUGGUGAGGUGCCUUCCGAGUUCCCUGGAACGGGACGCCAUAGAGGGUGAGAGCCCCGUAUGGAUGGACACCAAACCUGUGUAAAGCUCCUUCAACGAGUCGAGUAGUUUGGGAAUGCUGCUCAAAAUGGGAGGUAAAUCUCUUCUAAAGCUAAAUACCGGCCAGAGACCGAUAGCGCACAAGUAGAGUGAUCGAAAGAUGAAAAGCACCUUGAAAAGGGGGUUAAACAGUACGUGAAAUUGUUGAAAGGGAAGCGCUUGUGACCAGACUUGCGCCGGGCAGCUCAUCAGGGGUUCUCCCCUGUGCACUCUGCCCGGCUCAGGCCAGCAUCGGUUCUCGUGGGAGGAUAAGAACAGUAGGAAUGUGGCCCCCUUCCGGGGGGGUGUUAUAGCCUAUUGUACGAUACUCUCGUGGGGACCGAGGUUCGCGCUCCGCAAGGAUGCUGGCGUAAUGGUCAUCAGCGACCCGUCUUGAAACACGGACCAAGGAGUCGUCCAUUAGAGCGAGCGUUUGGGUGUAAAACCCGCACGCGUAAUGAAAGUGAACGCAGGUGAGAGCUUCGGCGCAUCAUCGACCGAUCCUGAUGUCUUCGGAUGGAUUUGAGUAAGAGUUUUAACGGACGGACCCGAAAGACAGUGAACUAUGCUUGUAUAGGGUGAAGCCAGAGGAAACUCUGGUGGAGGCUCGCAGCGGUUCUGACGUGCAAAUCGAUCGUCAAAUAUGAGCA